AGAUCGUUUGGGGAUCUAUCCCAAUCUGAGGGAGGGAGGGUGUUUAUGUAGAUGUAGAUAUUGAUGACCGUUUUCUCCUGGUUAUCAAUUAAAAGAUUUUAUUCCA